ensembl:lncRNA
ACUUUACCCUGGCUGGAAGGUGAUUGGGCACCAGGAGGAGUUCCAGCCCCAGAGCUAACAUGCUGCUCAUUUGGGUCCAGGUGGGGAUAUAUGAAAGUAUGAGCCUCAACAGUUGACCAGAAAGUAAAGAAAAUCAAGAAGCGAGUCUACAGAAAUAAACCUAAUCCCUAUCCUUUUUCCUUAGAAGCCUACAGCGUGUUUCCAACAAGGUGAGACUGGAUAACAAAAUGCUGCACUCUGGCCCGUGCCUGCAGAGCUCUUUGGUAUUGUGACUUCUGAAGCCCUUGAUGCCUUUGCUAGAACAAAGC